UACGUAGGGGGCUAGCGUUGUCCGGAAUCAUUGGGCGUAAAGCGCGUGUAGGCGGUCCGGUAAGUCCGCUGUGAAAGUCGGGGGCUCAACCCUCGGAUGCCGGUGGAUACUGUCGGGCUUGAGUACGGAAGAGGCGAGUGGAAUUCCUGGUGUAGCGGUGGAAUGCGCAGAUAUCAGGAGGAACACCGGUGGCGAAGGCGGGUCUCUGGGACGGUACUGACGCUGAGACGCGAAAGCGUGGGGAGCGAACAGG
rnacentral:rRNA from 1 species